UGGGGAAUAUUGCACAAUGGGCGAAAGCCUGAUGCAGCAACGCCGCGUGAGUGAAGAAGUAUCUCGGUAUGUAAAGCUCUAUCAGCAGGGAAGAAAAUGACGGUACCUGACUAAGAAGCCCCGGCUAACUACGUGCCAGCAGCCGCGGUAAUACGUAGGGGGCAAGCGUUAUCCGGAUUUACUGGGUGUAAAGGGAGCGCAGACGGCACUGCAAGUCUGAAGUGAAAGCCCGGGGCUCAACCCCGGGACUGCUUUGGAAACUGUAGAGCUAGAGUGCUGGAGAGGCAAGCGGAAUUCCUAGUGUAGCGGUGAAAUGCGUAGAUAUUAGGAAGAACACCAGUGGCGAAGGCGGCUUGCUGGACAGUAACUGACGUUCAGGCUCGAAAGCGUGGGGAGCAAACAGG
rnacentral:rRNA from 3 species